rnacentral:lncRNA from 1 species
UCAGGAGAGAUUGGCAGCUGGGUCAAACAAAGUCAUUCCAUUGGCUCCCUUCCCAGUAAGCUUCUGCUAGUAUUUAGGUACUAGUGCAGCCUAGGCCCCUUUUCUCAGGGAUAGCCUAACAUCUGACCGCACCCUCUUUGCUUUUUAAAAAAUGCCUUUUCACUCUUUAAGAUAAAUCCUCUAUUAUACAAUCUGCCACUAAUUGUGUGUUAAGACUGUUUUUCUCUCGAAAGCUGAUGCAUCCUGCUCUCAACGUGGUCUAGAAAGUGGGCUGUUACAGUACUGGAUUAAUAAAAGGGGCCUUUAUGGUUUGUGAAAGAAUAUCUCUGUGCUUAGGCAGGAAACUUUUUGAUCCACAGAAAAGCCAGACGACAUCCUAGAGCAAGAGAGGCCAACUUGAGGAGCAUGCACACUGUGAUACCCUCAGUGUGGCAGAGAUGUGGAAGAGUGUUUUGGGGCUGUGCAUCAAGGGGCACGAAAAAGGAACUUCAUUGGAUGGCAAAGAUGGCAAAGAUCCUGCCCUGACCCAUAGAUGGAGGAGACAACCCACCAAAGGUUUCUUUUCCGAUGUGUUCUCCUCCAGCCAGUGAAUUUUGUUUCACAGACCAGUGAAAGAAAAAUUAAAAUGAAAAAGGAAAAUGAAGAAGUUAAUGAUACCAGAUUUCAGCGAAGGUAAUAUAAUGAUCUUAAAUAACUUUUUUCUUUUUUUUUUUUGGUUAUACAGUAAAGCUAUU